AACAUUAGGAUUUGCCCCAUAGAGUAUAUAUUUUAUAUGGAAAUGGUGUCAGCCACUUAGCUAUAGCCUAGCAUUAGCAUUGUUGAGUGCAAAACAAUAGUAUCAGAAGCAUUGUUGUUAGCAUCCUUAAAUAUGUGGUGACCUGCUAACAUCUGUUAGCCCACUCCUCCUCGUCACUGUCAGGUACGCACCAAAGACAUGCUGUUUGAGAGCAUUAGUCACCUGAUCAGCUACCACCUGAAGAACGAGCUGCCCAUCGUGGCGGCCGAGAGCGAGCUGCACCUCAAACAGGUGGUCCGGAGGAAACAGUGACCCAGCCAGCCACAGAGGGGAUGACUUUCUGAAAUGGAGUCAGAGGUGUGUCCAUGUAAGCCCAAGGGAGGAAGAUCUUCACUGCCAUAUCCAUAUCCCCAGAAUCAGAGCGUUCACUGGGGUAGGAGGACACAGGCGAGUCCCUCUGCCCAGGACACAGGGGCAUCGCUACAGUACUUGGCUUCCUCCCGCAGUGCCCACAACUGUCCACCAUUUCCACCUGAACUCUCAGCAUGCAGUCAUUAAGCUAACAAACACCUGGAUGCCUCAGAACAGGAGGUAACAGACCAGACAAUCGCAAGGAUGGAAUUCUAGGUCAGAGGUCACAGAUGGUCCAAGGUCAGAUGACAUCAUCACAGUGACAAACAGUAGUUGUUCCAUAGGAAAUCAUUAUUUUCGAGUGCAUGAUGAUGUUGCACCUCAUACUGAAUCUCAAACUGCUGUAGUCAUGCACAGUCCCAGAAUGAUUUGGGUUCCCUGUGUCUUUCACUGAACAAAUGUGAACAUUCAUAGACAAAAAACAUUGUAAAUGAUAUGUAAGAAACUCCUGGCAGAAAAAUAUCACUCAAUUGUUUCAUCAGAAUGCAGUUCUUUGCUCCUCAGACAUUGGGAUGCUUUAAUGGACUUUUAUAUACUGUUCAUCUGCAGCAGUAGCAUCUGCACCUUCAUGAGAUUUAUUCAUAUGUAAUCUCAGGACCAAAUUCUGCAGGCUUUAAAUAUCUGAUAGCAUAUACUUUAGAGAUACAGUACUAACCAGACACAAACCUAGAACAUGUGUCUGUCCCUCUGUCCUCUCAAUAUCCACAAGACUACAUAACACACAAUACAUGGGCAGAACUCUGAAUAUCAAUGUGAUUGUUCAAUUAUAACCACAUACUUGUCAAAGUGUUUGUAUCGGACAGUCAUAGCUCGUCAUUGAAUACCUACCCGAGUUGUGUAUUAUCAAGCCUACUGUAUGAAGAGAGCACUGGUCAGAGCCUGUACUCUCAGAAGGCAGACUACAUUACUACAAAUGACUCAGUGUAUAUAUAAUGAACAUCUCCUCAGUUCAGUUCAGUGCCUUAAUUGUCCAUGUGUUUCAUAUCUUUCCUCUCAAAUCGCUUGUAAAGUGUCAUAAAUUCUACAUCUACCACCGAAGAAAUACAGUAGUGUGGAAUGUAUGUAUGCCCUGAGAGCAAAUUACACAUUUUCUUGCCAUGCCAAACCAUACUUUAAUCAAUGGAUAGAGUGGACUGAAAGAAAUCAUCCAUUUUUAUUGUGAAACUUCUAUAAGCUGCUGAUUAAUGGGUCGGAGGGGAUACUGUAUACUGUAGCACCUCCCACAGUGUGUUCUGAUUGGUUGUCCUAUUAUGUGCUUCCUGUUCUAUUGUACGAGUCCUCCAAUCAAUAAUCUUUGCGGGCAUGGGCCCUAACUGAUUUGAUCAGGAUUCUGUGUUAAUGGCAACAUGUUUGAUCAAUAGAUAGGGGAUCCUUUGGUCUCUGCUGUGUCUGUCUCAAAGGGGAAAGACAGAGGACAUGGCUUUCUGUGAUGUUAGUUACUUUAUGCAACUUUUCUAAAAUGACCCCUUUGCUUUCUCAGGGCUUUCUUGUAUCUACUCUUCUUUGAACUAAAUGCAUUUUUUGCAAUAAAAUAUGUCAAAAUU
ensembl:lncRNA